GGUACUGUAUCUCAGUGCAAGAGGUGCCAGUUCCUGGUUCGAAUCCAGGCUGUAUCA
rnacentral:tRNA from 1 species